UAUUGUAAUGUCAUCGUUGCCGUAAGCGCCGAGUUUUUCCAACAUUUAUCUAUAAUCACAAAUGAUAUACCAUGCACCGAACUCUGCACUCAACACUCGAAAACAGAAAACCAAAACAAAAAAAAACCAAUACAAGACAUUAACAAAUAAUUUAUAAAUUUGUUACUCGAUUGGAUUUAUGUUUGAAUUCUCAUAUGCACAAAAUACUCAUGAGUUUUACUGGCGCGAGUAACUGUUAACUGUCAAGAGAAAAGAUUAAAUACGACUUCUUUCCUGAAGAAAGCUGUUCCUUUGAAAACCAUAAGAAACAGAAGUAUCCGAUGUUAUCCGAUGGGACUCGUCUUCUUUAAACUAAAAAAAAUGGCUUGAAAAAUUAUUAUUUUAGACUGAUCGAUCCCAAAAUAACUCACUUCGAUCCGUAGUAGCGGGUAGUAAUAAGUUUUUACCCAAAAUUUUGAUACGAAAUGUGAUUAACUUAAGAUAUCUUGACUUAAUCAAUUCCAUGAAAAAUGACUUUGGUUUUCGUAACUUUUCUAGCAUUUUAGAACACUUUCACUAGUUUCUAAUGACUAGCCAGUGUUGUAAAGCACACCAUGAAAUAACAAUUGAUCCAAGGACAAAAGUUUUAGUGUAGAAAGUAUUCCAUUCUAUAGUUUCAACAUUUCUCAAGGUCUUCUCACAGUCAAUACUCAAACCUUACACAAUCCAUAUUUUUUUGGCGUAAAAUUACGUUAGGAGUGUCAAAAGGCGCUUGAUUUUGAGUCUAGUAGUUUAAUAGCCUAGUAGAGUCGAACUAACGGUGAAAGUCAAACCCAAAAUUUAGUUGAAUCCAAAGCGCAAACGCUUUUGUACCCUGUUAAGAGAAAAGAAAAAGAAAAUAGAGAGAGAGAAAGAAAUUAUUUUUGUCACAGCAAACUGCCUUGAAACGCAACUCUAAUUAUUGUUCCACAUUCUUAUGCUAUAAAAAAAAAAAAA